rnacentral:rRNA from 1 species
UACGAAGGGGGCUAGCGUUGCUCGGAAUUACUGGGAGUAAAGCGCACGUAGGUGGCUUUUUAAGUCGGGGGUGAAAUCCUGGAGCUCAACUCCAGAACUGCCCUCGAUACUGGGAAGCUUGAGUUCGGGAGAGGUGAGUGGAACUGCGAGUGUAGAGGUGAAAUUCGUAGAUAUUCGCAAGAACACCAGUGGCGAAGGCGGCUCACUGGCCCGAUACUGACGCUGAGGUGCGAAAGCGUGGGGAGCAAACAGG